rnacentral:rRNA from 1 species
UACAGGGGUCCCGAGCGUUGUUCGGAUUCAUUGGGCGUAAAGGGUGCGUAGGCGGCGCGGUAAGUCGGGUGUGAAAUCUCGGAGCUUAACUCCGAAACUGCAUUCGAUACUGCCGUGCUUGAGGACUGGAGAGGAGACUGGAAUUUACGGUGUAGCGGUGAAAUGCGUAGAUAUCGUAAGGAAGACCAGUGGCGAAGGCGGGUCUCUGGACAGUUCCUGACGCUGAGGCACGAAGGUCAGGGGAGCAAACGGG